rnacentral:ribozyme from 1 species
GCUGCUCGAAACUUUGCACACCUCUCCGUGGUGAGUAGCAGGCAACGAUCUAUUAUGAUUGGCGAAGAUGUGAGA